UCCAGGUACGCCCUGCCCUGAGCAGCGCCCCUCCACCAGCCCUUCUGCCAUGCCCUUCCUGCCCUGAAGCCAGCAGACCAUGGACUGAAUUCCCCCAAACCACGAGCCAGAGUAAACCUCCCUUCCUUUCAGUGGAGGAUUCAGGACGACUCUGCAUCUUCCAGCAGACAUUAACUGAGCGUCCAGGACUCAGCAGGCACAGAAGGUGCCAAGCAGUCCCAGCGGCCCUGUCCCUGACCCUGGGGGGCGGAAGAAAUGUCUGCAGGGGAGGGUCUGAAGGGACAGGGACAAACGCCCCCAGGAGGAGAGGGGGCAACGCCUGAGCAUGUUUCAGAGGCCCCGAGCCCCAUCCUGUGCAUCCUUCGAGGCGCUUGGCCAGGAGGAGGAGGAGUGAAGGACCUGGAUGGACAGGGACCCAGUGACCACGGUCCCACAGGGGUGCCCCUCACGAGAUGAGAGUGUAAUGCGUGUGUCUCCGCUGCACUUCCCCUGGAGAGCUGUGCGCUGUGUGUUUGUUCCCUCUCCUCAGGGGGCAGGCACAGGUGCCAGCUGCCUGCUGUCACACCUCAUCUCCCUGGAGAUUCCAUGCCCAGCAGCUUGGCAGGGAGGCGAAGCUGUCGCCCGAAUGGCCAGGAGCGAGUCCAGUGAGGGCAGGGGCUCUGCCAGCUCUCACUGCACACCCAGCUCCAGCCCUGGCAGCAAAACCGUGAGCAGCAGCAAAUCCUACCAGCACCUGCUGUGUGCUGGACACGUCUCAAGGGAAAUGCCCGGCAUGGAAAAAUCUGUCAGGGACACGUUGGGCUGAGAGAUGCACACACCCGCCCCGUGACGCAGACCUCGGCCCUGAAGAGGUCCCGGACGCUCCAGGCGAGGCUCUGGUUGCCCGCGAGUUAUCACACCACUGCCUGCACUUUGGUGAACACAGGACUGAUGAGUACCCGGAAACUUGAAUUUCACUACUGUUUAGAUUUUUUAUUACACUUCUGCAUACUGACAUAUUCAAGGGUUUAUGCCGCAGUGAAAUGCAGAUAAAGGUAAUAAGUCCCCAAACGCUUUAAAAGCGCUGUGGACUCAGGAGCUGCAGCCUUUACAAGAAGCAAGCACCGUGGCUCCCAGGGCCUUCUGGGCGGCCAGCAGGUGGCGCUGGGUGUGAGCCCGGGGGCCGUCGGUCUCCGGGCACAGGGCAGCGUGGCCCGCAACCCUGGACAAUUCUCUGGAAAACAUCCCGCACUGCUGGGCUUCUGACUAUUCCAGCCAUAUGUGGGAGUGGUCAGCAAGUUGGAAGUGACGUGGCCAGGCCUUUUCUACAUCCCAGGUUCUGCGGGAUGCUGCCAUUAUGCAAUGAAUCAGCCAUCAAACAAAUAAAAGAGUGCAGCUGUGUUAAAGGAAAUCAAAAAGGAAGUCCUGUCAAAGCGAAAUUCACCUUAUAUUCUAAGAGGGUUUCUUCAACUCUGAAAGAAACUUGAAAAGAGC